UACGGGGGGAGCAACCAUUGUUCGGAUUUACUGGGCGUAAAGGGCGCGUAGGCGGUCAGCACAAGUCAGUUGUGAAAUCUCCGAGCUUAACUCGGAAAGGUCAACUGAAACUGUGCGACUAGAGUGCGGAAGGGGCAACUGGAAUUCUUGGUGUAGCGGUGAAAUGCGUAGAUAUCAAGAGGAACACCUGCGGCGAAGGCGGGUUGCUGGGCCGACACUGACGCUGAUGCGCGAAAGCCAGGGGAGCGAACGGG
rnacentral:rRNA from 1 species